ACUCUAUGUUUAGGGAAUUGCAUCAAUUUGUCAUUAAAGUACUGCCAUACCUCAUAUAAAUGAUCACCACUAAGUUGAUAAAAAUUUAUGAUUUCAUCUCUUAGUUG
rfam:Capsicum annuum cultivar Zunla-1 chromosome 7, whole genome shotgun sequence